rnacentral:rRNA from 1 species
GAUAAACGCUGACAGAAGUGGCGUAACACAUGCAAGUCGAAUGUGAGGAUAACGUUCGGUUAUAGUUAGCAUGGCGGGACGGGUGAGUAACGCGUAAAGAACUUACCCUUUAGACUGGGAUAACAGAGAGAAAUUUCUGAUAAGACCGGAUACUCUUAGUAGGUAGCAUUACAAACUAAGGAAAGGAACGCUAAAGGAGAGCUUUGCGUCCUAUUAGCUAGUUGGUGGGGUAAAGGCCUACCAAGGCGACGAUAGGUAGCCGGCCUGAGAGGGUGUACGGCCACAAGGGGACUGAGAUACGGCCCUU